UGUGGAACCAUGGACUCUUCUUGUUCUGAGUCCCAGUCCCAGGGCGACGGUGAGAAAGCUCUGCGGAU
rnacentral:lncRNA from 8 species